CCAUGUGUAGCGGGGAAAUGCGUAGAUAUAUGGAGGAACACCAGUGGCGAAGGCGGCUCUCUGGUCUGUAACUGACGCUGAGGCUCGAAAGCGUGGGGAGCGAACAGGAUUAGAUACCCUGGUAGUCCACGCCGUAAACGAUGAGUGCUAAGUGUUGGAGGGUUUCCGCCCUUCAGUGCUGCAGCAAACGCAUUAAGCACUCCGCCUGGGGAGUACGACCGCAAGGUUGAAACUCAAAGGAAUUGACGGGGGCCCGCACAAGCGGUGGAGCAUGUGGUUUAAUUCGAAGCAACGCGAAGAACCUUACCAGGUCUUGACAUCCUUUGACCACUCUAGAGAUAGAGCUUCCCCUUCGGGGGCAAAGUGACAGGUGGUGCAUGGUUGUCGUCAGCUCGUGUCGUGAGAUGUUGGGUUAAGUCCCGCAACGAGCGCAACCCUUAUUGUUAGUUGCCAUCAUUUAGUUGGGCACUCUAGCGAGACUGCCGGUGACAAACCGGAGGAAGGUGGGGAUGACGUCAAAUCAUCAUGCCCCUUAUGACCUGGGCUACACACGUGCUACAAUGGGAAGUACAACGAGUUGCGAAGUCGCGAGGCUAAGCUAAUCUCUUAAAGCUUCUCUCAGUUCGGAUUGUAGGCUGCAACUCGCCUACAUGAAGCCGGAAUCGCUAGUAAUCGCGGAUCAGCACGCCGCGGUGAAUACGUUCCCGGGCCUUGUACACAC
rnacentral:rRNA from 1 species